rnacentral:lncRNA from 1 species
GGGAGGACAUUUAUAACACGUCUGAUAUGAGAGAUGGGAGGACAUUUAUAACACGUCUGAUAUGAGAGAUGGGAGGACAUUUGUAUCACACGUCUGAUAUGAGAGAUGGGAGGACAUUUAUAACACGUCUGAUAUGAGAGAUGGGAGGACAUUUAUAUCACGUCUGAUAUGAGAGAUGGGAGGACAUUUAUAACACGUCUGAUAUGAGAGACGGGAGGACAUUUAUAACACGUCUGAUAUGAGAGAUGGGAGGACAUUUAUAACACGUCUGAUAUGAGAGAUGGGAGGACAUUUAUAACACGUCUGAUAUGAGAGAUGGGAGGACAUUUAUAACAUGUCUGAUAUGAGAGAUGGGAGGACAUUUAUAACACGUCUGAUAUGAGAGAUGGGAGGACAUUUAUAACACAUGUCUGAUAUGAGAGAUGGGAGGACAUUUAUAACACGUCUGAUAUGAGAGAUGGGAGGACAUUUAUAACACGUCUGAUAUGAGAGAUGGGAGGACAUUUAUAACAUGUCUGAUAUGAGAGAUGGGAGGACAUUUAUAACACGUCUGAUAUGAGAGAUGGGAGGACAUUUAUAUCACGUCUGAUAUGAGAGAUGGGAGGACAUUUGUAUCACACGUCUGAUAUGAGAGAUGGGAGGACAUUUAUAUCACGUCUGAUAUGAGAGAUGGGAGGACUUUUAUAUCACGUCUGAUAUGAGAGAUGGGAGGACAUUUAUAACACGUCUGAUAUGAGAGAUGGGAGGACAUUUAUAUCACGUCUGAUAUGAGAGAUGUGAGGACAUUUAUAACACGUCUGUUAUGAGAGAUGGGAGGACAUUUAUAACACGUCUCAUAUGAGAGAUGGGAGGACAUUUAUAACACGUCUGAUAUGAGAGAUGGGAGGA